rnacentral:misc_RNA from 1 species
CAGUUCCUGAUCGAUCCACCCUCUCGGAGAGAGGACUAUGAGAUGGAUCAGACAAAUGGGGAGGCAAAGAACCUGAACGCACAGACCUGGUCGCCCUCUCUCUGGCUUUCGCCUCCUUCCUUAACCUCCUCUCUUCCGACCCCACCACCUCCUUCAUUUUAGGCGACGGCAUCUCAUUCAUCUCCCACAGCGUCGCCGCCAACUUUCUCGCCGAA